rnacentral:rRNA from 1 species
AGAGUUUGAUCAUGGCUCAGGAUGAACGCUGGCGGCGUGCGUAAUACAUGCAAGUCGAACGAGGUGCUUUUGUAGCAAUACGAGAGUAUCCUAGUGGCGAACGGGUGAGUAACGCGUUGGUGACCUACCCCAAAGUGUGGGAUAACAGUCCGAAAGGAUUGCUAAUACCGCAUGUGGUCAUUGGAUUUAGAAACUGAUGACUAAAGGAGCAAUUCGCUUUGGGAGGGACCUGCGUCCCAUCAGCUAGUUGGUGAGGUAACGGCUCACCAAGGCGACGACGGGUAGGGGACCUGAGAGGGUGGCCCCCCACAAUGGAACUGAAACACGGUCCAUACACCUACGGGUGGCAGCAGUAGGGAAUAUUGCACAAUGGGCGAAAGCCUGAUGCAGCAGCGCCGCGUGUGUGAUGAAGGCCUUCGGGUCGUAAAGCACUUUUCUGGGAGAUGAGAAAGGACAGUAUCCCAGGAAUAAGUCUCGGCUAACUACGUGCCAGCAGCCGCGGUAAAACGUAGGAGGCAAGCGUUAUCCGGAUUCACUGGGCGUAAAGCGCGUGCAGGCGGUGCGGUAAGUUAGGCGUGAAAUCUCCCGUCUCAACUGGGAGAGGUCGUCUAAUACUACCGUACUAGAGAGCAGAAGAGGAAGAUGGAAUUCCCGGUGUAGUGGUGAAAUGCGUAGAUAUCGGGAGGAACACCAGUGGCGAAGGCGAUCUUCUGGUCUGUUUCUGACGCUCAGACGCGACAGCUAGGGUAGUAAACGGGAUUAGAGACCCCGGUAAUCCUAGCCGUAAACGAUGUGAACUUGGCGUUGGUGGGUUAAACUCCAUCAGUGCCGUAGCAAACGCGAUAAGUUCACCGCCUGGGGACUACGGCCGCAAGGUUAAAACUCAAAUGAAUUGACGG